rnacentral:rRNA from 1 species
AUGGAUGGUAAUGGCUCGAGCAAGAGGAAAGCUGAAGCACAGUGAGAGGGAGAGAGCAGCGCCAAGAGGCUGAAUGGCACCGUGGGGUUGGAGUUCCUUGACUGCACUGUCUGCUCUGAGCCCCUCAGGCCACCGAUAUUCCAGUGCUCCGUGGGGCAUUUCAUAUGCGAGGAUUGCUGCGAGGAUCGACUGGACAACAAGUGUAACUUAUGCUUUGUGGAAACUUCAUUCCAGCGCUGCUUUGGGAUGGAACAUGUUGUCCGGUCGGUCACAGUAUCUUGCUCCAAUGACAAGUAUGGAUGUGCGGAGAAGGUCACCUACUACAAGAAAGAAGAACACAAGAAGGCAUGCCCGUGUGCUCCAUGCUUUUGCCCAGAGUCUGGAUGUAGCUUUGCUGGACCAACAGAAGAGCUCCUGGACCAUUUGACGACCCAACACAAGUGUCCCUCAACAACCCUCCCAGACUCUGGCACUGUGUCUCUCUGCUUACAGCCAGGCUUACAUGUUCUGCAAUGCAGCAGGAACAACUACUUUGUUUUGCUCCGCAUGACAUCAGAGCCUUUUGGACAUGCCAUCUCACUCGUGUGCGUCGAACCAAACUGGGCGGAAUCCAAGUUCAGAUAUAAAAUGAGUCACGACUGCAAAACGACCGGCUAUCGUGCAAGUACAAGCUCGGGCAUAAGGAGCUCUUCAAUCUCUGAUGGGCUUCCGACAGUGUAUGACUUAAUACUUCCCAAGGGAAAGGUUUCUGAUGAUGCAAACGGUAUCAUGCUUAAAGUCACCAUUCCUCGUCAAGGUCUGACUGUAGCCGAUCUUUGCUAUUUAUUCAGAAUUUGA